AUAUAUAGUGCAAUAUCUGUUGCUUUGGUGUAAUGUUGUUUGAAUUGAUAACAGGGAGAGUUCCAUAUUCAGUGGGAAAUGGAUUUCUCGCAGAUUGGGAAGCAGAAUAUACUAUGGAGCAACAGUUGAAAGACUUGGUGGAUAUAAUCUUGAAGGAAUCAAAAGCAUGGAAGAGGUAAAGUGUAGCAAGAUCAAAAUAUCAAAAGCUCGGAGACUCUCGAUGGGUUCCCGCACCCACCACGUUCGUCGUCGCCCAUGAAGGAAUACUCGAGAAAUAAAAGGAUGUUCACUGAGAGUUGCAAAAGGCUGAAAAUCAUGAAGGGUUUUGAUGUAUUUGCUUUGGAUUCCUACAGGGAAACACCAAUGUUCAAACCAAAGCAGGAAUCUGCAUUUGCUAGAUCAGAAGCAGUUUGAAGCUGGAAAUGGCUGAGAUUACUAGGAAAAACUUAAUGAUUUCGACGAAAGAAUCAUGCUGAUAGCUCCACCUGAUGCAGAGAUAUGCAUUGGCUUAAAGGUUAACAGAGAUUAGGGGAAAGAAGAAUUAGGAGCUUGACGCCUUCUGCUGGAAAUUCAAAGGAAAAAUAGCUAGAGAAAUGGUUCUUUUCAUAAGAGAUUUUUUUUAUCUGUUAUGGCUUGGUUACAUAUUAUUUCACUUAAUCUUUCCAGAGGAGAUUCCUCCAUGCUCAUCCGUGAUGGCAUGACCAGCCCCCUCUUCCUUUUUUUCUAUCAAAUUUUCUUAUCAGUUUAUCCAUUACUUGCUAAGUUGGGUGUUGCAUUAUAUUCUAAUGUAUAUUGUUUCAUGAAUUUUGACAAAUGGUGUUUCUACACUUUUAAUACGUGGAACUUGCUUUUAGGUGUCACAACAACCAGAGAGUACAUAAUGGGAAUUG